rnacentral:rRNA from 1 species
CCUACUGGAGGCAGCAGUGAGGAAUAUUGGUCAAUGGACGGAAGUCUGAACCAGCCAUGCCGCGUGCAGGAAGACGGCUCUAUGAGUUGUAAACUUCUUUUGUACAAGAGUAAACCUGAAUACGUGUACUCAGCUGAAAGUACUGUAUGAAUAAGGAUCGGCUAACUCCGUGCCAGCAGCCGCGGUAAUACGGAGGAUCCAAGCGUUAUCCGGAUUUAUUGGGUUUAAAGGGUGCGUAGGCGGAUUGAUAAGUUAGUGGUGAAAUGUUGGGGCUUAACUGGAGAACUGCAUCUGAUACUGUUGGUCUUGAGAGUAGAUGAGGUAGGCGGAAUGCAUGGUGUAGCGGUGAAAUGCUUAGAGAUCACGAAGAACACCGAUUGCGAAGGCAGCUUACCAGUCUAUAUCUGACGUUGAGGCACGAAAGCGUGGGUAGCAAACAGGAUUAGAUACCCCUGUAGUC